GAUUACCCGCUGAACUUAAGCAUAUCACUAAGCGGAGGAAAAGAGACUAACCAGGAUUCCCCUAGUAACGGCGAGUGAAGAGGGAAUAGCCCAGCACCGAAGCCUGCGGUAGUUUUACUGCUAGGCAAUGUGGUGUUUGGGUCGACUCGCGGGAUUGCCACUCCACUCGAAGUCCAGCACUGAGUAUGGUUCCCUGGAUUUGGCCCAGAGAGGGUGAAAGGCCCGUGCGAGUGGAGGUUCAGACAUGUGAGGCAAUUCACCAGGUCGACCUUCGAGUCGGGGUGUUUGGGAAUGCAGC
rnacentral:rRNA from 1 species